rnacentral:rRNA from 1 species
UAGAGCGGCGGACGGGUGAGUAACACGUGGACAAUCCUCGACCCCCCGGGCCCGGGAUAGCCCAGGGAAACCUGGAUUAAUACCGGAUGAGACGGGACCCGCGAUGGCGGGACCCGGGAAGGCGCUGCGGCGCCGCCGGGGGAUGAGUCUGCGUCCCAUUAGCUAGACGGCGGGGUAACGGCCCACCGUGGCGACGAUGGGUAGCCGGCCUGAGAGGGUGGACGGCCACAUUGGAACUGAGACACGGUCCAGACUCCUACGGGAGGCAGCAGCUAAGAAUCUUCCGCAAUGGGCGAAAGCCUGACGGAGCGACGCCCGCGUGAACGAAGAAGGCCGUGAGGUUGUAAAGUUCUUUUCGGGAGGGGGAACAACCGUGGCAGGGAAUGGGCCGCGGGAUGACGUGAAUCCCGGAAUAAGCCCCCGGCUAACUACCGUGCCAGCCGCAGC